rnacentral:misc_RNA from 1 species
GAAGAACUCCGACGCUAAUAUCUUCGGCAGGCUUACCACAAAAUUUAUAGUUUACUAUCGUACACUCCGAUUUGACGAGAAAAUUAUAGCGAUUGCUAUUAAGCAAGCAAAAUAAACGAUACUAGAAAUCAUCUGUAUCGUCUUUCAUUUCUGAAGUUGGGGCAUCGUCAAAACCAGAGCCAGGAGCAAGCUCAUUUAGAUCAAGAAACCGUGUUUUUCUUGCACCGUCGGUUUCAUCUUGAUCUGGGCUAUUCAAUUUUUCAGGAGGAGGAUUUUGCUCCUCCACAUUCUCCACAUAAACUUCAUCAGGUUGAUCAACUUUCAUUUCUUGAUCCUCCUCUUCUUCGUCAUCCUCAUUGUCAGACCCUUGACUUUCAACUGAAUAAUCCCCAUUCUCACUAGCAUCUG